UGGGGAAUAUUGCACAAUGGGCGCAAGCCUGAUGCAGCCAUGCCGCGUGUAUGAAGAAGGCCUUCGGGUUGUAAAGUACUCUCAGCGGGGAGGAAGGGAGUAAAGUUAAUACCUUUGCCCAUUGACGUUACCCGCAGAAGAAGCACCGGCUAACUCCGUGCCAGCAGCCGCGGUAAUACGGAGGGUGCAAGCGUUAAUCGGAAUUACUGGGCGUAAAGCGCACGCAGGCGGUUUGUUAAGUCAGAUGUGAAAUCCCCGGGCUCAACCUGGGAACUGCGUAUGUUACUGGGAAGCUUGAGUCUCGUAGAGGGGGGUAGAAUUCCAGGUGUAGCGGUGAAAUGCGUAGAGAUCUGGAGGAGUACCGAUGGCGAAGGCGGCCCCCUAGACGAAGACUGACGCUCAGGUGCGAAAGCGUGGGGAGCAAACAGG
rnacentral:rRNA from 1 species